AGCUUUAAUCGGAAUUACUGGGCGUAAAGGGUGCGUAGGCGGUUCGUUAAGUCUGUCGUGAAAUCCCCGGGCUCAACCUGGGAAUGGCGAUGGAUACUGGCGAGCUAGAGUGUGUCAGAGGAUGGUGGAAUUCCCGGUGUAGCGGUGAAAUGCGUAGAGAUCGGGAGGAAAAUCAGUGGCGAAGGCGGCCAUCUGGGACAACACUGACGCUGAAGCACGAAAGCGUGGGGAGCAAACAGG
rnacentral:rRNA from 1 species